rnacentral:lncRNA from 1 species
CCUACAGCUUGAAUUUGUAUUUGGCAAUGUAAAUUGCUUUCAUUGAACAGAUGUUAGCGGACAUGACCCAAGCAAACCUUGAAGUGUUCUUGCAUGUUUGGGCUUUCCCUCACAUGUUCUUGCUUUUUGGAUAAGAAGAGCAGGCCUCCAAAAACUACCAGUUCCAGAAGGGUAAGAAACAUGUGGAGAAAUGCUGGACUUAACUUGAAGCUCGGGCUACCCCAAUAAAUUCACAAAUCUACAGCCUGAAGCAGAGCCACUCCAGACAACUUAGACAUGUGAGCAAGAAAUUAAUACCUAUUGGUGUAUGCCACUGAUAUUUUGUGGUUGUUCGUUAUUCAUCAAAAGCUGAGACAACACAUAAAGAUUAGCAGUAAUUCUCUAAUAUCAUCAAACACACCAUAUGUUAAUCAAAUGAUUUUUUGUUUAGAGUUCUUUAUAUCUUUAGAGGUAAAAUUUACAUAUAACAAAAUGUAUAAAUCUUAAGUAUAUUAUUUGAUGAGCUUUAAUAAAUAGUAUACAACUGUGUGCAAUCCAAAACUCUGUCAAGACAGAGAACAUUACUAUCUCUGCAAAAAGUUCCCUUAUGCUGCAUCCCAAUCUAUUUCUACCCACCACCCACCCCUUCAGGGGUUGAGGGAGACACUUGACUAAAAGGGGGCAAGAGAACAUUUGAGAUAAUGGAAGUUACUUGAUUGUGGUAUUGAUUACACAACUGUAUACAAUUGCUAAUACUACCAAACUGCACAUUUAAAGUGGGGCAAUUUAUUGCACAUAAAUUAUACCUCAAAAAAACUAAGAAAAUACACACAGAAACGUAUUACAUCAGACAAUAUCAACACUAAAAUCCUCUAAUUCUGAAACUAUUCUGUUUUUGUAUCACAGAGAAGAAAUAAUAAAUGAGUGAGUGAGCCUGAACCCCACCCAUUCCAUCCCUUUACUAGAAAUAAAUGAAUCAUUCUGGAUGAGCUAUUCAUCAAACACGAUGCCGUGCUAAAAUGGUGCAUAACUGGAAUACAAAUUAAAGUUACUCAUGUCCAAAAGUUCCUUCUAAAGCUCCAAUGAUUCAGAAAGAAAGAGAAAGUUGAUAUAAUCAUGUGAAAUUCAAUGGCUUUUUAGUCCUGGUUUCUCCAUCUUGGCUCCCUUUAUUUUGAUAGUCUGGGAAGUAGUUGAUAAAAUUCUUAGCCAUUCUCUCUCAAAGCCCACAGUCUUUUCCCCUAAAUACCACCUUGACCUGUAUGGGAAGGGAAAAUCAUCAAUGACAAACAUCAUUAUAACUCUUUCAUCAUUAUUAUGUCU